rnacentral:tRNA from 1 species
UGGAGUGAGGCUCAGUGAUAGAGCACUUGCCUGGCACGUGUGAGGCCUGAGUUCGAUCCUCAGCACCACAU